UUGGGCCAUGACAAAGGAUUGCGCGGCAGCGGAAAAAGUGCAAUAAAUUUUACUAUGCUCGGUGCCGAAUGUCGAUUUCGUUCAAUGAUUUCUCCCCACGGCAGCGACAACUGCCGCCUGCCGCCUGUCGAUCGUCGACCUUUAUUUAUGUGCCUUUGAUAAUGCGUUUUUAAAUUCAGGAAGUCGCAGUUUAUGCUGCCUCCCCAUGAACUUCCCCCUUUUUUUUCUCGUUUUCCGCUCGAUUGCUGCAGGGGCGUAGCCCCUGAUUGGCUACCAAAAAGGGAAGGGGGGUUCCUAAGAACGAGGCCUAAGGUCCGAAUGGGUUGGAGGAUUUCCAACGAAUUUCCCGGAAGAAAAGCAAAGAUUCGACAUUGCAUAGCUACAUAACAUAGAUUAUAGAGGGUCUAAAGAAAGCGUUAACAAUUUGAUUGAUGACAACAAAUCCGACACAUAAAAAAUGGUUUUUUAUGCAAAUUAAUGUAUUAAUAGGUAUAUACUUAUGCGGAAUAUUUUUCAAUUCUGGUGGACACAUUUCUAAAUGGAAUCAAUAUAUUGCCGAGGGAUUCACACGUCGGGCACUUAUGGAUUCACUACAUCCAGAUGGUGGAUCGUGAUCGAUGGCUCGACAAUAUCUAUCGCUGAAGUUUAUCACUUCGCCGAAUGUGGACAACUUACUGCCCAUAACAGGAAACGGUAAUGAGAACCAUUCGAAAGCUCUUGAGGUUCCCCAGUCAGACAGCCAGCUAGCUCCAACUGGUCCAUCUGGUAAUGGCGAUGUGGCUCCAAGUGCACUCAGCUGUGCUCCACUUCAAGAACCAUGAGAUCCCAGAGAUCUCGGAUCUCGAAACCUAUGCCGAUACUGUAUGUAAACAAUAUCAAGCGGCGAACGCGACAUGAAUUUAUGAGAUCAUUUUUGAAGUUAAUUAUGCCAGGGCAUAAAUUUCACAAAAACACAGACACACACACACACAUCUCUGCCAAACAGAAAUAUAGAUAUAUAUGUUUGUAUAUAGCAUAUAGCUAUUGAGUGCAAAAGCCCUCAAUCUACAGAUGCUGUCAAGAUAGUUUCUCGUUCUUCGUCUGUUGUUGUCUGCUGGCGUUUCUCUAUUGCCUUCUUUUUUUGCACGUUUCACCAAUCAUAAUAGUUUUUAUCUUAAAACCCAUAAACAUGUGCAUAAAAAAUACACAAAAAAAAAGGAGUUUGGCAGAAAUAAAACCGAACAGAGCUGGAUGGAACUCGUUCCUAGACCUAGGUUAGUUCUCCACUCGAAUCAGAUCUCUCUCUACGGAUCUCAGCGCCUCCAUCCCCGCUAUACCCAACAUCCCCACUAGUUGGCCAGAAGACCCAGUCCGUCCGUAGUCUUUUCUUUGGUAGACCUGUUUCGUGUCAUAGAUUUGUUUUAUGUUUAUGGUGUUUGGGCCAAGUCCGGAGACUGUGGUGGCUGUGGGGGUGGUGGGGGGUUUUCGAACCUCCAAGUCACCACCACCGACACCGACUACCAACCAAAGUGGUUCGGCCAGCCAAACAACAAAGAGUCUGUCCCAAUGUCCAGCCAGUGUUGUUGCUGUUGUUUAUGAACAAGAAGUUUUGCGGCUAUGGAUGUGGUUUGUGGUUUAACUGCUUUUAUGGUAACACAAAAUAAGAAAAUCAACGAAAACAACAAACAAA
rnacentral:sRNA from 1 species